rnacentral:rRNA from 1 species
ACACAUGCAGUCGAGCGGUAACAGAUCCAGCUUGCUGGAUGCUGACGAGCGGCGGACGGGUGAGUAAUGCAUAGGAAUCUGCCCGAUAGUGGGGGAUAACCUGGGGAAACCCAGGCUAAUACCGCAUACGUCCUACGGGAGAAAGGGGGCUCCGGCUCCCGCUAUGGGAUGAGCCUAUGUCGGAUUAGCUAGUUGGUGAGGUAACGGCUCACCAAGGCCACGAUCCGUAGCUGGUCUGAGAGGAUGAUCAGCCACAUCGGGACUGAGACACGGCCCGAACUCCUACGGGAGGCAGCAGUGGGGAAUAUUGGACAAUGGGGGAAACCCUGAUCCAGCCAUGCCGCGUGUGUGAAGAAGGCCCUCGGGUUGUAAAGCACUUUCAGCGAGGAAGAACGCCUGGCGGUUAAUACCCGCUAGGAAAGACAUCACUCGCAGAAGAAGCACCGGCUAACUCCGUGCCAGCAGCCGCGGUAAUACGGAGGGUGCAAGCGUUAAUCGGAAUUACUGGGCGUAAAGCGCGCGUAGGUGGCUUGAUAAGCCGGUUGUGAAAGCCCCGGGCUCAACCUGGGAACGGCAUCCGGAACUGUCAAGCUAGAGUGCAGGAGAGGAAGGUAGAAUUCCCGGUGUAGCGGUGAAAUGCGUAGAGAUCGGGAGGAAUACCAGUGGCGAANGCGGCCUUCUGGACUGACACUGACACUGAGGUGCGAAAGCGUGGGUAGCAAACAGGAUUAGAUACCCUGGUAGUCCACGCCGUAAACGAUGUCGACCAGCCGUUGGGUGCCUAGCGCACUUUGUGGCGAAGUUAACGCGAUAAGUCGACCGCCUGGGGAGUACGGCCGCAAGGUUAAAACUC